AUCGUGGACCACCAUGGGACUGCCCAGCUCCAGGCCCUGCGACAGAAGGAAGUAGACUUCUGCAUCUCACUGCUUCGGGAACGGUUCAUGGAAUGUCUGAUGAUUGGUCGGGAUCUCGUAAGACUACUUCAGAAUGUUGCUAGGAUACCAGAAUUUGAACUGCUUUGGAAAGAUAUUAUCCAUAAUCCUCAGGCCUUGAGUCCUCAGUUCACAGGUAAGUAGGGUCUUAGGCAUCCUGUCCUUGAGAGCUGGGAGUUCAAUGUGUAUGUCUUGCUUGAAUCAAGAAGGUAGAGGUUGGUGGGUAGGAGAGUCUUUGGUGGUCAGAUUUAGGAAGCCUGGGACAGGGCAAGCUUUGCCAAGUACAACUGCGAAUGGCAGAGGUACAGAACAAUUCAUGUAGUUCCUAGACAGCCCCUACUUGGCAGACUCCAGCUGCCACAUUACUACUAAGAAAAAAGUGAGACAGAUAACUGUAGUCCUCCUCCCCUCUUCCUGGCAGCUCCUUGGCUCAGGAGGUGAGCCAGUGGCCAGUGUUCAGCUUCACGGAGUCUAGCAGGGGAGUCAGAGGUCAACUCGUGAGACUGAGUCAGUAGAGGGCUGGAAUUAGUCCUGUAAGAGAAGGCCCCUCCCUGGGAACAGUCUUGCCUCGAAUUCCAAGGAUCCAGCUUGGGCAAAAUCCACUUUGGAGGAGGGAGUCUCCGUGUGCCUCCUCCCGACAAGGUCCUUUUUAUAUCCCUUUCCCUUUCCCAGGGUCCUGCUAUGUUCUGAAC
rnacentral:lncRNA from 1 species